rnacentral:rRNA from 1 species
CGCCCUGUUAACAAAAACAUGUCCUUUUGAAUAUAUUUAAGGUCUAACCUGCCCAAUGAGGAUUUAAAUGGCCGCAGUAUUUUGACUGUGCAAAGGUAGCAUAAUUAUUAGUUUUUUAAUUGAAAGCUUGUAUGAAGGGUUGGACGAGAUAAAAUCUGUCUUUAUUUAAAUUAAAGUAGAAUUUAACUUUUAAGUCAAAAGGCUUAAAUGUUAGUAAAAGACGAGAAGACCCUAUAGAUCUUUAUUUAAUUGAUACUUUAAUAAUUUAGGAUUAAUUUAAUUUAAAGUUUUAAUUAAAUUUUAUUGGGGUAAUAUAAAGAUUAAAUAAAUUCUUUUUAUUUAUUACAUUGAUUUAUGAAUAAAUGAUCCAAUAUUAUUGAUUAUAAGAUUAAGUUACCUUAGGGAUAACAGCGUAAUUUUUUUGGAGAGCUCAUAUCGAUAAAAAAGUUUGCGA